GACGAACGCUGGCGGCGUGCUUAACACAUGCAAGUCGAACGGAAAGGCCCUGCUUUUGUGGGGUGCUCGAGUGGCGAACGGGUGAGUAACACGUGAGUAACCUGCCCUUGACUUUGGGAUAACUUCAGGAAACUGGGGCUAAUACCGGAUAGGAGCUCCUGCUGCAUGGUGGGGGUUGGAAAGUUUCGGCGGUUGGGGAUGGACUCGCGGCUUAUCAGCUUGUUGGUGGGGUAGUGGCUUACCAAGGCUUUGACGGGUAGCCGGCCUGAGAGGGUGACCGGCCACAUUGGGACUGAGAUACGGCCCAGACCCCUAGGGGAGGAAGCAGUGGGGAAUAUUUCACAAGGGGCGGAAGCCGGAUGCAGCAACCCCGGGUGGGGGAUGACGGCCUUGGGGUUGUAAACCGCUUUCGCCGGUGACGAAGCGGGAGUGACGGUAAUGGGUAAAGAAGCACCGGCUAACUACGG
rnacentral:rRNA from 1 species